UGUAAAUAAAGCGAAUUUUUUAGUUACCUUAUUUAUUUUUAUUUAUUUGUAUACUUAGAUCAAUAAUCAAAUUAAUAGUAAUAUAUUUUUACAUGCUCGAAUGCUCUGUAAGAAAAUCGUUAUAAGGUAUUGGCAUCAAAAUACGAGUAAAAUGCCUCCAGAGAAGUUAUUACUGUUCGUUCCACCGAGAAGCUUUCAGUUCCUGAAGGUGAUCGAAGUUUCAUAAAAAAAAAAAAAAAAGAGAACAGAGAACAUUCGUUAUUUCCAUUGAGAAAUAUGUAUGAAAAGGAACUCGGAUGUAAAGCUAUAGGCUACGAAAACUGCUAUUUUAUUCCGAGACCAUUGAGAAAUUGCUUAUCAGACAGCCCAAUGUUCUUUCGAGAAUUGUUGGCAAAAGAAUUGAAUUUAGUUAAGUGCCGAAUUUUCAGCUUUGUUCAACUUGUGCCCAUUUCGAAUAAUAAUAAUCUGACAAGGGAAAAGGAACGUAAACUGAAAAGUUUCUCUCUCUAUUGGAGUGAAAACAUUAAUCAAAGAUAAUAAAGUCCUUUUGGGAUUAUUUAUAACUUAUACACUGUUAUCUAUAUGCAAAAAAAUAAAAUAAAAUAAAAUAUUUCUAUUUAAGAACGUUAAUAAUAACAAUUGUCUAAACGGGAGAAUUCACGCUACGUUAUUUAACGUAAAAAAAAAAAAAAAAACUAACCUUUCUGAAACACGCCCCUUCGACGAUUGAAUGGAUAAGUAAGUUUCAUUCAUAAAUUCGGCUCGAGACGUGAAUUAGCGCACGAGACACGAGCCAUACCGAUACAUUCAUUAUUAUGUCAUUUAUUCGAAACUAUUUCCUCAUUCACAGAACUGUUUCGUUCCGGGAAUUUUGUAUUUUUAGGAAAUUAACGGUUUGUUCAUCAAAAAAAAAAAUUUUCAUUAAAUAUCGAAACGGAUAUUAUACGAAAUAAUUUAAUAUUGUUUAUUAACUCGUCCGAAAACGAUUUUAAUUAUUUUUAAAGAUUAAAAACUCGGAGGGUAAAGAAUAUAAGUUACCGUAUCUCGAAAGUCAAU
rnacentral:lncRNA from 1 species